rnacentral:rRNA from 1 species
AAUAGAUACCCUGGUAGUCCACGCCGUAAACGAUGAGUGCUAAGUGUUAGGGGGUUUCCGCCCUUAGUGCUGCAGCUAACGCAUUAAGCACUCCGCCUGGGGAGUACGGUCGCAAGACUGAAACUCAAAGGAAUUGACGGGGGCCCGCACAAGCGGUGGAGCAUGUGGUUUAAUUCGAAGCAACGCGAAGAACCUUACCAGGUCUUGACAUCCCGUUGACCACUGUAGAGAUAUAGUUUCCCCUUCGGGGGCAACGGUGACAGGUGGUGCAUGGUUGUCGUCAGCUCGUGUCGUGAGAUGUUGGGUUAAGUCCCGCAACGAGCGCAACCCUUGAUCUUAGUUGCCAUCAUUUAGUUGGGCACUCUAAGGUGACUGCCGGUGACAAACCGGAGGAAGGUGGGGAUGACGUCAAAUCAUCAUGCCCCUUAUGACCUGGGCUACACACGUGCUACAAUGGACGAUACAAACGGUUGCCAACUCGCGAGAGGGAGCUAAUCCGAUAAAGUCGUUCUCAGUUCGGAUUGUAGG